UCAUGUUGUGGACAACCUGUACAUAGUCUUUCAAACCUUUUCCAAUAAUCAUAUAAGUCCUCAGUUGGUCUUUGCCUUAUGCUAGUGAUUUCUCUUAUUAUGCCAAUUGAUUUAGAUGGUGGGAAGUAUUUGUCCAAAAAGGCUUGGACCAUAUCAUCCCAAGAAGUUAUAGAUCCAGGUGGCAAAUAAAAUAACCAAUCCUUAGCAUGGUCAUCUAAUGAAAAAGGGAAAGCUCUUAGUUUAACAUGAUCUUCAGAGAUCCCUUAAGGUCUCAUGGAUGAGCAAAUAAUUUUAAAUUCUUUUAAGUGCUUAUGUGGAUUUUCAUU
rnacentral:lncRNA from 1 species